AGUGAACGCUGGCGGUAGGCCUAACACAUGCAAGUCGAACGGCAGCACAGUAAGAGCUUGCUCUUACGGGUGGCGAGUGGCGGACGGGUGAGGAAUACAUCGGAAUCUACUUUUUCGUGGGUGAUAACGUAGGGAAACUUACGCUAAUACCUCAUACGACCUACGGGUUAAAUCAGCGGAUCUUCGGACCUUGCGCGAUUGAAUGAGCCGAUGUCGGAUUAGCUAGUUUGCGGGGUAAAGGCCCACCAAGGCGACGAUCCGUAGCUGGUCUGAGAGGAUGAUCAGGCACACUGGAACUGAGACACGGUCCAGACUCCUACGGGAGGCAGCAGUGGGGAAUAUUGGACAAUGGGCGCAAGCCUGAUCCAGCCAUACCGCGUGGGUGAAGAAGGCCUUCGGGUUGUAAAGCCCUUUUGUUGGGAAAGAAAAGCAGCAGGUUAAUACCCCGCUGUUCUGACGGUACCCAAAGAAUAAGCACCGGCUAACUUCGUG
rnacentral:rRNA from 1 species